rnacentral:siRNA from 1 species
GAGAAGUGUGCAACUCGAAACGAG